rnacentral:rRNA from 1 species
UACGUAGGGGGCUAGCGUUGUCCGGAUUUAUUGGGCGUAAAGAGCGUGUAGGCGGCCAGAUAGGUCUGCUGUGAAAACUCGAGGCUCAACCUCGAGCUGUCGGCGGAAACCAUUUGGCUAGAGUCCGGAAGAGGAAAGUGGAAUUCCUGGUGUAGCGGUGAAAUGCGCAGACAUCAGGAGGAACACCGGUGGCGAAGGCGGGUCUCUGGACAGUUCCUGACGCUGAGGCACGAAGGUCAGGGGAGCAAACGGG